rnacentral:tRNA from 1 species
GCAUGAGUGCUUCAGUGGCAGAAUUCUCGCCAGCCACAUGGGAGGCCCAGGUUCGAUUCCUGGCCCAUGCA